GAGGGUAUAGCUCAGUGGUAGAGUGUGUGCUUAGCAUGCACAAGGUCCUGGGCUCAAUCCCCAGUUCCUCCA
rfam:Camelus ferus unplaced genomic scaffold scaffold1378, whole genome shotgun sequence.